CAGGAGGCUGGGGCUGGGAGCAUCCCCGCUGAGCAAGGUGCCGCGGCGUCAGGGCACGGGGUUUUGCCAGGGGGGAAAGAAGGGGAGGGGAAUAAUAGUAAUAAUAGUAGUAGUAAUAAUAAUGAUGGUAAUAAUAAUAGUGGUAAUAAUGAUGAUGAUGAUGAUAGUAGUGAUAAUAAUAAUAAUAAUGGUAAUGAUAAUAAUGAUGAUAAUGGUGAUAAUAAUGAAGAUAAUGAUGAUAAUGAUGAAAAUGAUGAUAAUGAUGAUAAUAAUGAUGAAAAUGCUAACAGUAAUGAUGAAAAUGCUAAGAGUAAUGAUGAAAACGGUAAUAAUACUGAUGAAAACGAUAAUAAUAAUGAUGAAAAUGCUAAGAGUAAUGAUGAAAACGGUAAUAACAACAGGGAAAGUGCUAAUAAUAACGAUGAAAAUGCUAAUAAUAAUGAUGAAAAUGCUAAUAAUACUGAUGUUAAUGGUGAUAGUAUCAAUGUUAACAGUGAUAGUACUGAUGUUGAGGAUGAUAAUACUGAUGCUGAGGAUGGUAAUGCUGAUGUUGAGGAUGGUAAUGCUGAUGUUGAGGAUGGUAACGCUGAUGUUGAGGAUGGUAACUCUGAUGUUGAGGAUGGUAAUGCUGAUGUUGAGGAUGGUAACACGGAUGAUAAUAAAGCUAAUCAGUCAGCGAGAAGGGAGCCCAGCACGGUGUUUUGGCCGCAGCAGCAGCAGCAGAAGCAGCAGUAGAAACAGCAGUAGAAGCAGCAGCAGUACAAGCAGCAGCAGCAGCAGUAGAAGCAGCACUAGAAGCAGCACUAGAAGCAGCAGUAGCAGCACUAGAAGCAGCAGUAGCAGCAGUAGAAGCAGCAGUAGCAGCAGCAGUAUCAGUAGCAGUAUCAGCAGCAGCACUGGGGCGGCGUGGGGCCGGGGGUGGCGGCGGGUCCGGCGGCGUGGCGUGACGUGAAAGUCCCCUUUAAGUUUCCACGGAGAGGCCUCCGGGUGUCACAUGAUGGACAUGAUAUAAUGAAACAACAUUGUGCGGAGGGAAGCAUUAGGGGAGCCCGGGGCGGCGGU
rnacentral:lncRNA from 1 species